AUCCGGAUGACGGAAUGGAAUACGUCCCGCACUCAGGCUGCGGGUUUUGUGGGUUCAAAUCCCACUCCGGAUA
rnacentral:tRNA from 3 species